rnacentral:rRNA from 1 species
UACGAAGGGGGCUAGCGUUGUUCGGAUUUACUGGGCGUAAAGCGCACGUAGGCGGAUUGGUCAGUUAGGGGUGAAAUCCUGGAGCUCAACUCCAGAACUGCCUUUAAUACUGCCAGUCUCGAGUCCGGAAGAGGUAAGUGGAACUCCUAGUGUAGAGGUGGAAUUCGUAGAUAUUCGCAAGAACACCAGUGGCGAAGGCGGCUCACUGGCCCGGUACUGACGCUGAGGUGCGAAAGCGUGGGGAGCAAACAGG